AGCUUCCUUGCUAUUUAGAAAUUGUUGCCCAUUAGUUGAAGAAGAAUUGCUGUUGUAUGCGCUUGUUUGCACUUCCUUUUCUGAAAAAGUCUACAAUAUUAAGGCUAAAUAGCAGAAAAAUAUGACCCAAUAAUCCAUGCAAUCAAAAAUAUCUAUCAAAUUAACUUCAAAAAUCAUGAUUUGGGAAUUAUAUCUAUUCAGAUAAUCAACCCAUAAUUUAGUGACAGAUCUUGGGAUUGGUGCACUACAAAACUAUAUUGACUGAAGUUUUGGACAAAUUUAGCCAACUCAGUUUUGAAGGAUUUUAUUAGGUCCAGUUCACAUGAGACUGGAACGAAGUCAAUUAACCGGGACCAUUUCGUUUUGGUCAUUAGAUUAUAUAUAAUACAUGUAGAUGUUUACAUGAGGUCUCAAGUCAUUCCGCCUGCUGGACCAAGCCGACUCAGACCAGUAUGAAUUCAGACUGGAAUGAAUGUUGACAUUGGAACAAGUGAACAACACAUGCUAACAAAAGUCAUCUAAAAAUUGCCCGGCAAGGGGAAUAAAUUGAAAAUUUUGUGAUUUUCAUACUGGUCUCAUGUAAACAUGUUGACAUGCAAUUUCAAUUUUCCAGGUUGGUUUCAUCCUGGUCUCAUGUAAAAGAGGCCUUACAAAAUGUGAUUCAGUAUCAUGGGAUGAGAUUAGGGGCCUGUUUAUAUGAUCCCGGCCAGUCGGGACGGGAUGCUUACCGAGAUCCUGCUCGUAAAUUAUACAAAUGCUAAAGAGUGUUUAUAUGAUCCCGCCACUUAUCCCACCUAGACUGGAUUUCGGCAACAGAUGCCGGGAUCCUGCCUAAGCGAGAUGAAAAAUUCCCAUAUAAAAACACUUCAUCCCGCCUAGCCGGGAUGAAAAAUUCCCAUAUAAACACUUCAUCCCGGUUAGGCGGAAUGAAUUUUUCCCUUUUGGGCAUGCGUAAAUGCCUUUAUUGCAACAAAAAUAUGACGCCAAGCACCGAAUGGUUUCAUCCCGGCAAUGUAUUUUGUCCAUAUAAACACUAGGCGAGUAUCCUGUCUUGGCAGGAUGAAAACGUCCCGUCCCAUCUAGGCGGG